rnacentral:rRNA from 1 species
CCUACGGGAGGCUGCAGUGAGGAAUAUUGGUCAAUGGACGAGAGUCUGAACCAGCCAAGUAGCGUGAAGGAUGACUGCCCUAUGGGUUGUAAACUUCUUUUAUAUGGGAAUAAAAUGUUCCACGUGUGGGAUUUUGUAUGUACCAUAUGAAUAAGGAUCGGCUAACUCCGUGCCAGCAGCCGCGGUAAUACGGAGGAUCCGAGCGUUAUCCGGAUUUAUUGGGUGUAAAGGGAGCGUAGGUGGAUUGUUAAGUCAGUUGUGAAAGUUUGCGGCUCAACCGUAAAAUUGCAGUUGAAACUGGCAGUCUUGAGUACAGUAGAGGUGGGCGGAAUUCGUGGUGUAGCGGUGAAAUGCUUAGAGAUCACGAAGAACUCCGAUUGCGAAGGCAGUUCACUGGACUGCAACUGACACUGAGGCUCGAAAGUGUGGGUAUCAAACAGGAUUAGAUACCCUAGUAGUC